rnacentral:rRNA from 1 species
GACUAACAGGAUUCCCCUAGUAACUGCGAGUGAAGCGGGAAAAGCUCAAAUUUAAAAUCUGGCGGUCCUUGCGGCCGUCCGAGUUGUAAUUUAGAGAAGUGUUAUCCGCGCUGGACCGUAUACAAGUCUCCUGGAAUGGAGCGUCAUAGAGGGUGAGAAUCCCGUCUUUGAUACGGACUACCAGGGCUUUGUGAUGCGCUCUCGAAGAGUCGAGUUGUUUGGGAAUGCAGCUCAAAAUGGGUGGUAAAUUCCAUCUAAAGCUAAAUAUUGGCGAGAGACCGAUAGCGAACAAGUACCGUGAGGGAAAGAUGAAAAGAACUUUGGAAAGAGAGUUAAACAGUACGUGAAAUUGUUGAAAGGGAAACGCUUGAAGUCAGUCGCGUUGGCUGGGGAUCAACCUUGCUCUUUUGCUUGGCGUACUUCCCAGUCGAUGGGUCAGCAUCAGUUUUGACUGUUGGAUAAAGGUCAGGGGAAUGUGGCAUCUUCGGAUGUGUUAUAGCCCUUGGUCGUAUACAGCAGUCGGGACUGAGGAACUCAGCACGCCGCAAGGCCGGGUACUUGUACCAC